rnacentral:rRNA from 1 species
UCCCAGACUCCUACGGGAGGCAGCAGUGGGGGAUAUUGCACAAUGGGGGGAACCCUGAUGCAGCGACGCCGCGUGGGUGAAGGAGCGUUUCGGCGCGUAAAGCCCUAUCGGCAGGGAAGAAGGAGGACGGUACCUGACUAAGAAGCCCCGGCUAACUACGUGCCAGCAGCCGCGGUAAUACGUAGGGGGCAAGCGUUAUCCGGAUUUACUGGGUGUAAAGGGGGCGCAGACGGCGAUGCAAGCCAGGAGUGAAAGCCCGGGGCCCAACCCCGGGACUGCUCUUGGAACUGCGUGGCUGGAGUGCAGGAGGGGCAGGCGGAAUUCCUGGUGUAGCGGUGAAAUGCGUAGAUAUCACGAAGAACCCCGAUUGCGAAGGCAGCAUACCGGCUCCACACUGACGCUGAGGCACGAAAGCGUGGGUAUCGAACAGGAUUAGAUACCCCGGUA